UAUAUUCUAUAGAAAAUAACUGAUUUAAUUCAAACACUUCACAACUUUUCGGUCAAACUUUAUAUAAAGGACAAGUACGAGUAUACCAUUUUACAUCCUUGUGUUUCAGGGUUAAGGUCCCAGUAUAUUUUGGACAUUUUUGACAUGUAUGGAUUACUCGACAGUUAUGAGACUACAGAAGAUGUUUACAGCUAGCAGCAUCUUACAUACAAUAUGGACCAGUGUAUGGGGAAAGAUGAUCACAUGUUUGACAUGCAGCAUUUUAUAAUGAUCCUGAUUAACUUCAACUAGCCGAAGACAAUAUCAGUGGAGGAGGCCAAAAGAGGCUAUCUAUAUUAAUUUUGGACAAAAAAUGUUGGAGAGAGCAGUUUUGAAUGAACAUUUUGUAGUGCUGGAGACAACAGCGGUUGGGAGCUUGUUCCACUCAACGAUGGUUCGGGGAAAGAAGAGUUGUUUUGUUGCAGAUUUUUAAGCUGAAUAUGUCAAAGUGUAUAUGAUACUGUAAAGUCCAAAUGGAAAGGUCCUUAAACAAAAUAUAUAACAGCACCAAAAUAAUCAAUACAUAAAGGAAUAAUGUACGGUUAUUACCAAAUGGCCAGGCGAUGAAUUCUUUCAUCAAAGCCAUGACAGCGUCGAUAACACAUGCGUUUGCCCUAGAGACGCUACUAACUGUGAUGUUGAACCGAUCGGCUAUUUCCCGAUGCGAAUCCUUAUUUGGCAUGCACCACGCAGUUACCAAAUCUGUUUCUCUAGUUUAAUGGGUUUCACGACCUUGCUCGUGAUUCAAAGGAACUUUGUGGCAUAAAUAAAAUUUAUUAAUACUGUAAUGAACAAGUAUAGUAGAGUUAACCAUGUUCGUGUUUAUAUGUGUAUGUUAUGUAUGAUCUGUAAAUAAACCACGUGUAAUCAUUGUCA